rnacentral:lncRNA from 1 species
CAAAGAAAGAUCAAGUAAAGGCUUUGUGGGGACUCAGUUCAGGGAGUUUACUGACCAGUUAGGUGACUUACAUUGCAUUUGCCCCUGCCCCCAUCCAUCCAGCUCAAGAGUGUGCCUUGCUUAAGAGCCAUAGGGGAGAGACUGGGAGGGAUGAAUUCUUAUUACAUCAUUCAUCGUGCCCAUGGGGCUGAAGGAACAGGCUUCUUCUCAGCUACACAGAAGAGCAGGCGCGGAUAGUGCAGUGCAGUGCCCCAUCCCCACACACCCGGUACCCUCCCAGG